rnacentral:rRNA from 1 species
AAAUGAAUAGACGGGACCCCGCACAAGCGGUGGAUCAUGUUGUUUAAUUCGAAGAUACGCGAAGAACCUUACCAGGUCUUGACAUCCCUCGCAAAGCUAUAGAGAUAUAGUGGAGGUUAUCGGGGUGACAGGUGGUGCAUGGUUGUCGUCAGCUCGUGUCGUGAGAUGUUGGGUUAAGUCCCGCAACGAGCGCAACCCUUAUUGCUAGUUACCAUCAUUAAGUUGGGGACUCUAGCGAGACUGCCAGUGACAAACUGGAGGAAGGUGGGGAUGACGUCAAAUCAUCAUGCCCCUUAUGACCUGGGCUACAAACGUGAUACAAUGGAUGAAACAAAGGGCAGCAAGCUGGUGACAGUAAGCGAAACUCAUAAAAGCAUUCUCAGUUCGGAUUGAAGUCUGCAACUCGACUUCAUGAAGCCGGAAUCGCUAGUAAUCGCGAAUCAGAAUGUCGCGGUGAAUACGUUCUCGGGGUUUGUACACACCGCCCGU